CCUUUGACGUUAGCGGCGGACGGGUGAGUAACACGUGGGUAACCUACCUAUAAGACUGGGAUAACUUCGGGAAACCGGAGCUAAUACCGGAUAAUAUUUCGAACCGCAUGGUUCGAUAGUGAAAGANGGUUUUGCUAUCACUUAUAGAUGGACCCGCGCCGUAUUAGCUAGUUGGUAAGGUAACGGCUUACCAAGGCGACGAUACGUAGCCGACCUGAGAGGGUGAUCGGCCACACUGGAACUGAGACACGGUCCAGACUCCUACGGGAGGCAGCAGCG
rnacentral:rRNA from 1 species